rnacentral:lncRNA from 1 species
CGUGUGACGGCACAGUGAGAAAGUAGUCAUCUAAAAGCCAGGAAGAGAGGCCUCUCCUGAAACCAACUCUGCCAGCACCUUCAUCUUGGACUUCCAGCAUCCUGAAUGGUGAGAAAAUGGGGUCUGGUUCUGUUGCCCAAGCUGGAGUGCAGUGGGACAAUCUCAGCUCACUGCAAACUCCACCUCCCAGGCUCAAGCAACCCUCCCACCUCAGCCUCCUGAGUAGCUGGGACUACAGGCACGUACCAUCAUACUAGCGAGUUUUUUGUAGAAAAUAUUUAUCUUAACUCAUUACAAUAAAUCCUAUUGCCCUCUUCUUCAGGAAUUACUAUUUUCUCUUAAGAACUGCUUAAACAUAGAGGGGAUGCCAAUGGUAAUUGGAUUUGUCAAAAAUUCAAUUCUGUUUCCAUACUGCUUACCCUAUAAUUAAACAAUUGAAACCAUUUUGUAAUUAGGACUCUUUUGAAUUUAUUCUGCAUUUUUCCUAG